GUCGUUGUUGUGCUGCCCAUUGCUUUGUUUUAUAAGCAAUUGGUAUUGGUAUUUAUAUUUGGAAACUAAUGAUGAUGUCUUUUACACUACUUGACACCUUUUAGAAAUUGCAGUAUUUUGGUAUUUUUAAUCAUUUUGUGUAUAUGAGUGAUUAUUAUUAUUUAUUGUAAGUAAAAAAAAAAAAGUAGGUCUCUAAAUGGUGGCACUUCUUAUGUUAUUCAUCAAAUUAAAGACACAGGGUUAAUUUGUUCGAGUUAAUAGACUUGGGUAUAAACAUGGCUAGGUUUGAUUUGACAAACCUGAGUAGGUCUGACAGAUACAGGAGAAAUGCGUUGGUGGAACCUUUGGGACACUAUUGUUUUUUUUGCUUGCAGACAGAAAGAAACAAAAAAUACAGCAGCCAGAUGCCAGUUGGGACCACUCCCAAAGGAGAGACAAGGGUAUCAUAUAAAGACCCAAAUCUGUUGUUAGCUAGAACCAGCUCAUGAGAGAGGCACAGGGUUUGGACAAAAAAAACUAGUAGUGAAUCCCUUAAGCAGUUAUAUUGUUUGUAAUGUGCAAAAUAUAGUAUCUGGGAACUAACAGAAUUCUUUAAAUGUGCAUGCAUGGUUUGCUGAAGAAGCACUUUAUUGUGGAACUUGUGUAAACAAUACUGCUCUCUUAUUUGUUUUUAUACAUUUUUUAAAGGUAUUUUGGAAGAAUUAAGCCUUAUUAUAUUUUAUUACAUUUUAGUCAUGUGUCACUUUUUUCAUUGUUAUAUUGUUGAUGAGCAGGGUUCAUAGCUUCAUGUUCUAAAAUAAUUAUGAGCUAAAUCAUGAUCACCAUACAUGAUUGUGAAGCGUUUAC